AUUGAACGCUGGCGGCAGGCCUAACACAUGCAAGUCGAGCGGAAGAAGGGUGCUUGCUCCUGGUUUCAGCGGCGGACGGGUGAGUAAUGCCUAGGAAUCUGCCUGGUUGUGGGGGAUAACGUCCGGAAACGGGCGCUAAUACCGCAUACGUCCUGAGGGAGAAAGUGGGGGAUCUUCGGACCUUACGCUAUCAGAUGAGCCUAGGUCGGAUUAGCUAGUUGGUGGGGUAAAGGCCUACCAAGGCGACGAUCCGUAGCUGGUCUGAGAGGAUGAUCAGUCACACUGGAACUGAGACACGGUCCAGACUCCUACGGGAGGCAGCAGUGGGGAAUAUUGGACAAUGGGCGAAAGCCUGAUCCAGCCAUGCCGCGUGUGUGAAGAAGGUCUUCGGAUUGUAAAGCACUUUAAGUGGGGAGGAAGAGCAGUAGGUUAAUACCUUGCUGUUUUGACGGUACCAAAAGAAUAAGCACCGGCUAACUUCGUG
rnacentral:rRNA from 1 species